rnacentral:rRNA from 1 species
GAUGAACGCUGGCGGCGUGCCUAAUACAUGCAAGUCGAGCGAAUGGAUUAAGAGCUUGCUCUUAUGAAGUUAGCGGCGGACGGGUGAGUAACACGUGGGUAACCUGCCCAUAAGACUGGGAUAACUCCGGGAAACCGGGGCUAAUACCGGAUAACAUUUUGAACCGCAUGGUUCGAAGUUGAAAGGCGGCUUCGGCUGUCACUUAUGGAUGGACCCGCGUCGCAUUAGCUAGUUGGUGAGGUAACGGCUCACCAAGGCAACGAUGCGUAGCCGACCUGAGAGGGUGAUCGGCCACACUGGAACUGAGACACGGCCCAGACUCCUACGGGAGGCAGCAGUAGGGAAUCUUCCGCAAUGGACGAAAGUCUGACGGAGCAACGCCGCGUGAGUGACGAAGGCUUUCGGGUCGUAAAACUCCGUUGUUAGGGAAGAACAAGUGCUAGUUGAAUAAGCUGGCACCUUGACGGUACCUAACCAGAAAGCCACGGCUAACUACGUGCCAGCCGCCGCAGUAA